rnacentral:piRNA from 1 species
UACCUCUUCCUCAGAAGCUGGUGCGACCUUC